GGAAGAACAGCUCCUGGGAAGCAAAAAGUUAAGCCAAUAAUCCAGAAUUAGCUUCAAUAUACAGUGUAAGAGCAGGAGCUUGAGGUGCUAAGCUGCAGUGGGAGAUGCUGACAAGGUGAUCCCUGACACCUGACCAUGGCUGACCUCCUAAGAGCCCCUAAAGUGCCUGCCCUGUGCCUGCUCACCAGUCCUUGUCUUGUUCCUCUCUGCUGGUGAAGGGGGAAGAAAGACAGAGAAACUUUGAUGUUCAUCCACAUGGGAUUUCAUAACUCUAAUGGAUCGAUUUGGACCACUGUAAUGACCCAGCG